rnacentral:rRNA from 1 species
CUGGUGGCGAGUGGCGAACGGGUGAGUAAUACAUCCGAACGUGUCCUGGAGUGGGGGAUAGCCCGGCGAAAGCCGGAUUAAUACCGCAUACGAUCUUGGGAUGAAAGCGGGGGACCGAAAGGCCUCGCGCUCAAGGGGCGGCCGAUGGCAGAUUAGCUAGUUGGUGGGGUAAAGGCCUACCAAGGCGACGAUCUGUAGCUGGUCUGAGAGGACGACCAGCCACACUGGGACUGAGACACGGCCCAGACUCCUACGGGAGGCAGCAGUGGGGAAUUUUGGACAAUGGGGGCAACCCUGAUCCAGCAAUGCCGCGUGUGUGAAGAAGGCCUUCGGGUUGUAAAGCACUUUUGUCCGGAAAGAAAACCUCCGUCCUAAUACGGUGGGGGGAUGACGGUACCGGAAGAAUAAGCACCGGCUAACUACGUGCCAGCAGCCGCGGUAAUACGUAGGGUGCAAGCGUUAAUCGGAAUUACUGGGCGUAAAGCGUGCGCAGGCGGUUCGCUAAGACCGAUGUGAAAUCCCCGGGCUUAACCUGGGAACUGCAUUGGUGACUGGCGGGCUAGAGUAUGGCAGAGGGGGGUAGAAUUCCACGUGUAGCAGUGAAAUGCGUAGAGAUGUGGAGGAAUACCGAUGGCGAAGGCAGCCCCCUGGGCCAAUACUGACGCUCAUGCACGAAAGCGUGGGGAGCAAACAG